ensembl:lncRNA
GGAUCAGCUGAACCUACAGGAAGUCCUCUGAGGGCAGCUUCUCGCACUUGAAUCCCCCAGGAAUCUGACUAAAAUGAAGAUUCUGAUUCUUUAGGUCUGGGCUGAGCUCUGAGAGUCUAUUCCUCACGAGCUUUCUGGAAAUGCUGAUGCUGCUUGAGCAGGGACAACACUAAGUGGUGAGGUUCCAGAACAGCGCUCACUGUUCAAAAGAAAUGUAACGCAAGGCAAAAAUUUCCUUGGCUACACAGAAGAAGAUAACUUUUGGAGACUUUUUUCCUGCCUUGGUCUAGAAACAGGAGGAGACCUGAUGCUGCCACAGCAC